AGAAUUACUCUGUUUGACUAUUAAAACAAAAUAGAAACACAUUUUUCCAGAAUGUACCUGGACAGGCAUCAGAAUGCUUGGUAAAUUCAAUAAAAUGCAGACUUUAAGGAAUAUACACAGCAGCUUUCACUUAAAGAAUACCAGCACCUACAAGUAACAGAUUUAACAAGUUAAACAAUAAAAUCCUAAAUACUUAAUUUCAUUU